rnacentral:rRNA from 1 species
AUUGAACGCUGGCGGCAUGCUUUACACAUGCAAGUCGAACGGUAACAGGCCGCAAGGUGCUGACGAGUGGCGAACGGGUGAGUAAUGCAUCGGAACGUGCCCAGUCGUGGGGGAUAACGCAGCGAAAGCUGCGCUAAUACCGCAUACGAUCUGUGGAUGAAAGCGGGGGACCGUAAGGCCUCGCGCGAUUGGAGCGGCCGAUGUCAGAUUAGGUAGUUGGUGGGGUAAAGGCUCACCAAGCCAACGAUCUGUAGCUGGUCUGAGCGGACGACCAGCCACACUGGGACUGAGACACGGCCCAGACUCCUACGGGAGGCAGCAGUGGGGAAUUUUGGACAAUGGGCGCAAGCCUGAUCCAGCAAUGCCGCGUGCAGGAAGAAGGCCUUCGGGUUGUAAACUGCUUUUGUACGGAACGAAACGGUCCUGGUUAAUACCUGGGGCUAAUGACGGUACCGUAAGAAUAAGCACCGGCUAACUACGUGCCAGCCGCCGCCGCAACAC